UACGUAGGUGACCAGCGUUGUCCGGAUUUACUGGGCGUAAAGAGCGCGCAGGCGGUCGUUCAAGUCGAGUGUGAAAGCCCCCGGCUCAACUGGGGAGGGUCAUUCGAUACUGAUCGACUCGAAGGCAGGAGAGGGUAGUGGAAUUCCCGGUGUAGUGGUGAAAUGCGUAGAUAUCAGGAGGAACACCAGUGGCGAAGGCGACUACCUGGCCUGUUCUUGACGCUGAGGCGCGAAAGCUAGGGGAGCAAACGGG
rnacentral:rRNA from 1 species